GGGAUGUGAGCUGCGAUGACAAUUUUGAGUUUCCAUGAAGCAGGGUCUCUCCUGUCCUCCAUCAGAGACUUGCGGCCAGUCCUGCCAGUGCCCUCUAGGCCCCCAUUUCCGUUGGUCCGUGGUGGUGCCCUCCUCACCCAGGUGGUGUGGAAGUGGAGGGGUGGAUGGGAGGCACGGGCUGAGAGAGGGCCCACGGGGCCUAUGCCUCCCUGCCCGGCCCCACCCAUGCCCCGUGGGGCCCCGUGAGUGCUCUUGCCUGUAAGGACGCCUCCCAGCUCCGAGGAUAUUUAUUCACCAGCCCGACCUCCACAAGCACGUGGGAAGUCACCAGGACUAUGUUGGCAUCAACCCAUGGGGGGCCCUUGCUGUGCCCAGGGUGCUCAGAGAGAAUUUACAACCAGUCCAGCCUCCGAGAGACUCGCAGGCUAGAGGGGAGACACUCACCUACAGCAAGCAAUGAGUGCAAUGUGAUCAUUGCACCUGGGAAGCUUGAAGGAAGAGUGCUCCGGACAGAAGGAACAGCACGGACAAAGGCCUGGAAGCAAGAGGCAAGGCUGAAAAGAGCAGGGCCAGGGAGAAGGCUGAGUGACAGGAGGAGGGCCAGGGCUCAGGUACAGAGGGGCAGAGCCCUCACCAAGGCCUUUGAACCUUAAACUGGGGCUGGGAGAGCCUGGGCGUGUCUCACACCGCUCUGCAACUGUCCUUUUACUUGAAAGUCUCCCACCAUCCUGAGGACUCCCAUGGCUGGUGAACUCUGUGAACCCACUCCUGGCAGGAGCCCUGGCACCCCCCGAACACCACACUCUAGUGUCAAGCUGUCCCCACUGGAAUGCAGGUUGGGAAGGAGGCAAUGGAGUGGGGUGGGUGGGAGCUGAGGUUGCAAAAUUUGGUGGAAAUGGG
rnacentral:lncRNA from 10 species